UACGAAGGGGGCUAGCGUUGCUCGGAUUGACUGGGCGUAAAGGGCGCGUAGGCGGUUCGUACAGUCAGACGUGAAAAUUCCUGGGGCUCAACCUGGGGGGCUGCGUUUUGAUACGUGCGGACUUGAGUGCGGAAGAGGGUCGUGGAAUUCCCAGUGUAGAGGUGAAAUUCGUAGAUAUUGGGGAAGAACACCGGUGGCGAAGGCGGCGACCUGGUCCGAUACUGACGCUGAGGCGCGAAAACGUGGGGGAGCAA
rnacentral:rRNA from 1 species